GCCCGGGACUCCAGCCGCCGACCAAUGGACGCGGGGCCACGGUUCCCCGGAGCACUGCUCCGCCACGUGAUCGGCAACGCGCCCGGAGUGAUCGGGCUGCGGGCCAGGGUCCCGGAAAGGGGUGGUGGGUCACCGUUUCAUCAGAAGCCCGAGGACGGGAGCCAGGGUGCAGGGGCAACUUCCUAUAGGAGAGCGUCCCGUUAGAAUGACAGGGCUGUUGCAAAGGACUGACAGCCGUGGCACAGAGCGUCCCAGAUAUGGAGGGUUUCACAGAUGGGCAGAUCUGAUAAGGGACCACCUGUGAAAUCAGCUAUUGUUGACUCUUGAACAAUCUGGGGGCUAGGGGCAUGAACCCCUGUGCAGUUGAAAAUCAACAUAGAAUUUUGACUUGUCAAAAACUUCACUACAAUAGCCUGCUGUCAACCUGAAGUCUUACCAAUAACAUCAGCGAUUAACACAUAUUUUGUAUGUUAUAUGUAUUCUAUGCUGUAGUUUUACAAUAAAGUAAGCUGGAGAAAUGAAAAUUUUAAGGAAAUCAUAAGGAAGAGAAAAUAUGUUGGCUAGGUACAGUGGCUCAUGCCUGUAAUCCCAGCACUUUGGGGGCCCAGGUGGGCAGAUUGAUUGAGCUCAGGAGUUCAAGACCAGCCUGGACAACAUGGUGAAACCCUGUAUCUACAAAAAAAUACAAAAAGUAGCCAGGCAUGGUGGCACGGACCUGUAAUUCCAGCUAUUUCAGGAGGCUGAGGUAGGAGAAUCAUGUGAGCCUGGGGACAUCAAGGCUGCAGUGAGCCAAGAUGGCACCAUUGCACUCGAGCUUUGGUGACAGAGCAAGCCUCUGUCUCAAAAAAGAAAGAAACAAAAUAUAUUUAGUAUUCAUUAAGUGGAAGUGGAUUGUCAUAAAGGUCUUCGUCCUGGUUGUCUUCAUGUUGAGUAGGCUGAGAAGGAGAAGGAAGUGAAGGGGUUGGUCUUGCUGUCUCACGAGUGUCAGAGGCAGAAGAAAAUCCAAGUGUAAGUGGACCUAUGCGGUUCAAACCCAUAUUGUUCAGAGGCCAACUGACUAAUACUAAUAUAAUGUAUUAGUAUUAGACAUUGUGGAAAUUACAGAAAAUACAGAAAAAUAUCAAAAUAGAAUCAGUACUACCCAUUGAUAACUACCAUCAUAAUUCACUAUGUUUUCUUUCAGUAUUUAUU